CACGUAGGGGGCUAGCGUUGUCCGGAUUACUGGGCGUAAAGAGCGCGCAGGCGGUCGUUCAAGUCGAGUGUGAAAGCCCCCGGCUCAACUGGGGAGGGUCACUCGAUACUGAUCGACUUGAAGGCAGGAGAGGGAAGCGGAAUUCCCGGUGUAGUGGUGAAAUGCGUAGAUAUCGGGAGGAACACCAGUGGCGAAGGCGGCUUCCUGGCCUGUUCUUGACGCUGAGG
rnacentral:rRNA from 1 species